rnacentral:rRNA from 1 species
AGAGUUUGAUCCUGGCUCAGAUUGAACGCUGGCGGAACGCUUUACACAUGCAAGUCGAACGGUAACGCGGAGAGAAGCUUGCUUCUCUCCGGCGACGAGUGGCGAACGGGUGAGUAAUACAUCGGAACGUGUCCGCUCGUGGGGGACAACCAGCCGAAAGGUUGGCUAAUACCGCAUGAGUUCUACGGAAGAAAGAGGGGGACCCGCAAGGGCCUCUCGCGAGCGGAGCGGCCGAUGACUGAUUAGCCGGUUGGUGAGGUAACGGCUCACCAAAGCAACGAUCAGUAGCUGGUCUGAGAGGACGACCAGCCACACUGGGACUGAGACACGGCCCAGACUCCUACGGGAGGCAGCAGUGGGGAAUUUUGGACAAUGGGCGCAAGCCUGAUCCAGCUAUUCCGCGUGUGGGAUGAAGGCCCUCGGGUUGUAAACCACUUUUGUAGAGAACGAAAAGACACCUUCGAAUAAAGGGUGUUGCUGACGGUACUCUAAGAAUAAGCACCGGCUAACUACGUGCCAGCAGCCGCGGUAAUACGUAGGGUGCGAGCGUUAAUCGGAAUUACUGGGCGUAAAGGGUGCGCAGGCGGUUGAGUAAGACAGAUGUGAAAUCCCCGAGCUUAACUCGGGAAUGGCAUAUGUGACUGCUCGACUAGAGUGUGUCAGAGGGAGGUGGAAUUCCACGUGUAGCAGUGAAAUGCGUAGAUAUGCGGAAGAACACCGAUGGCGAAGGCAGCCUCCUGGGACAUAACUGACGCUCAGGCACGAAAGCGUGGGGAGCAAACAGGAUUAGAUACCCUGGUAGUCCACGCCCUAAACGAUGUUAACUAGUUGUUGGGAAGUAAAAUUCUCAGUAACGCAGCCAACGCGAGAAGUUGACCGCCUGGGAAGUACGGUCGCAAGACUAAAACUCAAAGGAAUUGACGGGGACCCGCACAAGCGGUGGAUGAUGUGGAUUAAUUCGAUGCAACGCGAAAAACCUUACCUACCCUUGACAUGUCAGGAAGCUCUUGUAAUGAGAGUGUGCCCGCAAGGGAGCCUGAACACAGGUGCUGCAUGGCUGUCGUCAGCUCGUGUCGUG